rnacentral:rRNA from 1 species
AUGAACGCUGGCGGCGUGCCUAAUACAUGCAAGUCGAGCGAACAGACGAGGAACUUGCUCCUCUGACGUUAGCGGCGGACGGGUGAGUAACACGUGGAUAACCUACCUAUAAGACUGGGAUAACUUCGGGAAACCGGAGCUAAUACCGGAUAAUAUAUUGAACCGCAUGGUUCAAUAGUGAAAGACGGUUUUGCUGUCACUUAUAGAUGGAUCCGCGCCGCAUUAGCUAGUUGGUAAGGUAACGGCUUACCAAGGCAACGAUGCGUAGCCGACCUGAGAGGGUGAUCGGCCACACUGGAACUGAGACACGGUCCAGACUCCUACGGGAGGCAGCAGUAGGGAAUCUUCCGCAAUGGGCGAAAGCUUGACGGAGCAACGCCGCGUGAGUGAUGAAGGUCUUCGGAUCGUAAAACUCUGUUAUUAGGGAAGAACAAAUGUGUAAGUAACUAUGCACGUCUUGACGGUACCUAAUCAGAAAGCCACGGCUAACUACGUG